CAUGAACCUCCUACUCCAAUCUGGAGAUCAUGGGCAUUUGGAGGGACUUUAUGCAGCAAAAGAUAAGGGAAUUCAGAGGAGUGAGAAUCACUUCAAACUAUAGAGAUUGAGCAAGGUUUUAUGGAAGAAGAGUCAUGAUGUUAACCUGGAUCUCAAAGGGCUUGAAAGAGGAGAGAAGACGGAAAAAGAUAAGGAAAAUGCAACCUAGGGUCAGAGGCAGUAAGCAGAAUGCGUUGGCUGAAGAAUGAAUUUGAAGAAGUGAUGUCCAUAUCAAAUUUGCACAAUUUAUUACCACAAAAUUGAGGUGUCUUCAGCCAGAAAUUGGAAGAUCUACCUGUCAUCUGAGAAUCCAGCUGUGUUCUUUUCGG